GACCCGGUUCCUGAUUUCGGACUACAAGGAAAAGAAGGCUCUUCUCGGGAAAAAGGGGGCUUUCGGAUGAAGAAGGUACUGUGGCAAGCCCUUGCCAAUGCAAUAAACAAACGCAAUGAUUGCAAUGUGAGCCCAAUUCAGGCCGAAAAUAAAUGGAAGAGUUUAGAAAGGGCAUACAAACGAGCAAAGACGAAGAACAACUCCUCAGGCCAUUCGUGCGUCAAUUGCAGCCAUGAAGAGGAGCUAGGUGAGGUACUGGAGCAUGAGCAUCACAUUGCACCCCCAUUCCUUUUAGCCCCAGGAGAAGUAAUACAGGCUGAAGAUUUAUGGUAAGACUGCCUGAGCUUAAUUAUGGAGCAGUUCCAAAAAGUUUUUUCAACCUAAAAUGCUUGUUCCAGUACACCUCCAGACACAGAGGCCAGUUGCAACAACGAGGCAGGGCCAUCGCAACAGCCCCAGGAUGAUGUACGCCACAAGCGGCGCCGCAGGGACACUUCCAUCAACACCCUCCUGGAUGUUUUCCAGGAGGCCAAAAAGGAUCGGGCCGAGCGCUUUGAAAAAAAGAUGGCUUUGCUGGAGCGGCUUGUUACAGCAGUUGAGGCUAAAGCUACCCAGGUCGAAUAAAUUGCCAAAAACAUUGAUUGUCAUGUUGCUUUCUCACCGGUCACUGAUAUAAGAUGAUCAAAACAUGUUUUACUACAAGCAUAUGUUUGGCAGUGGUUCUCAAGCCUCAUUUAACGCAUGUGCUAUAACGAUGUGUCUUGCAACACAUCCUGCGUCAGCCCCCAUUUCGGCUAUGUAGUAAAUCACACACAGCACCCCAACAUGCAUUAACCAUUUAUCAACUUUCUCUAUUGGGUCAAUUGCUAAUGGCAUUAACUUUCAGCAACAUUCAAAU